rnacentral:rRNA from 1 species
AAGGGGCAGUAAGGCAUGGGUAACCUACCCUGGGGACUGGAAUAGCCCUUCGAGAGAAGGGGUAAUACCGGGCGACGUAACGAGGAGGCAUCUCUUUGUUACCAAAUGAGUUUCGCCCUGGGAGGGGCCCAUGUGAUAUUAGCUAGUUGGUGAGGUAAUGGCUCACCAAGGCGAAGAUGUCUAGCGGGUGUGAGAGCACGACCCGCGCCACUGGCACUGAGACACUGGCCAGACACCUACGGGUGGCUGCAGUCGAGGAUCUUCGGCAAUGAGCGCAAGCUUGACCGUGCGACGCCGCGUGUGCGAUGAAGGCCUUCGGGUUGUAAAGCACUGUCGAGGGGGAGAAAAGCGAAAGCUUGAUCUAUCCCUGGAGGAAGCACGGGCUAAGUUCGUGCCAGCAGCCGCGGUAAGACGAACCGUGCGAACGUUGUUCGGAAUCACUGGGCUUAAAGGGCGCGUAGGCGGGCUGCCAAGUCUGUGGUGAAAUCCCUCGGCUUAACCGAGGAACUGCCGUGGAUACUGGAAGUCUCGAGGAAGGUAGGGGCAUGCGGAACUACGGGU